CCUACGGGGGGCAGCAGUGGGGAAUAUUGCACAAUGGGGGAAACCCUGAUGCAGCGACGCCGCGUGAGUGAAGAAGUAUUUCGGUAUGUAAAGCUCUAUCAGCAGGGAAGAAAAGGACGGUACCUGAUUAAGAAGCCCCGGCCAACUACGUGCCAGCAGCCGCGGGAAUACGUAGGGGGCAAGCGUUAUCCGGAUUUACUGGGUGUAAAGGGAGCGUAGACGGCAGGACAAGUCUGGAGUGAAAUGCCGGGGCUUAACCCCGGAACUUUUUGGAAACUGUGCAGCUAGAGUGCAGGAGAGGUAAGUGGAAUGCCUGGUGUAGCGGUGAAAUGCGUAGAUAUUAGGAAGAACACCGGUGGCGAAGGCGGCUUACUGGACUGUAACUGACGUUGAGGCUCGAAAGCGUGGGGAGCAAACAGGAUUAGAUACCCUAGUAGUC
rnacentral:rRNA from 1 species